UGGUACUAGGGGUGGACAGGAACCGAUGGCCCAACCCAACCCAGGAAUAACCGAAAGAAAAAAUGUAAAUGGGCGGACCCAAACGGUCCAACGGGCCCAACGGGCGAAAAUUGCGGGUUCAAUUGGUUUUAAAUGGGCGGUCCGGGUAGAAAUGACUGGACCGCGGGUACCCUGACCCACCCGAAGCCCAUUUUCCAAAAGAUGUUGUUUUCAUAACUUAGCUCUCAUUUCCCUGUUCCCUCAUUUUUUCACUUUAACGCAAACACUCUCUCUCUCUCUCUCUCUCUCUCUGUCUCUCAAAUGAAUGAAACCCUAUUAGAGCGAUCUCCACUGUUUCUCUUCUAUUUUCAUCAAUCACCACCACCGUUGCUCACCCUCAACUCCACCACAAGGAACCCCUAGCCAACCACCAUAGCACACAGUUACUCUCCUUCACCGACACCACUACUCGAACAAGAAGAACACACACCAUCUCCUUCUCUCACCGACCUUCAUGAACACCAUUUGAAGUUAAGAUCUUCGGUCUACCAUUGUUCUUCUUUCAUUUGCAAGAUAUUGCAGUUAUUGAAGAGGGCUUGUAUUCCAGUGGUUGGUUGAACAGAGGGCCAAAUUGAAGUUGUGAUCUUCGAUCUAAUUUGUUGUUUUGAUUUUUGAUAUUGUUGUUUUGAUUUAAACAAAUGGCUCAAGGUCAAAGUAGCAGUAUGGAAAAAGUUUUAGAGUUGGGGAAAUGUAACUGUAAGUGUAUUAAACUCCUUUCAAUAUUGUUUGUAUGAUGGAUCAAGGUCAAAGUAGCAUGGAUGAUUGGUUAGUUCACAAUUUUGUAUGGGCUUGACAUUUCAUUUGAAUGUGUUGUUUGAUUGUUUAAGCUAGGUAAAAGAAUGGUCUAUAAAGGUAUUGCGGUUGAUUGAAUUAUCCAUCUUUUCUAUAACUUCUAAAUUAAUUAUUUCUAACAAGCUGAUAUUCCUGUAUUGUGUCAGAUUGUGAAUUGGAGAGCAUGCCUGAAAUUCCCCGAAGAACCUAAGAUAUCAGCUGAAGCUAAGGAUCUCAUCUGUAGCUUGCUAUGUGAUGUUGACACGAGACUAGGAACGAGGGGAGUAGACGAAAUAAAGGUAAAGACUCCCAUGGGAAUAAUGUUUGUUUGGGCAACUGCUCUAUAAAUGUGAUUUUGAUUGGAAUUAUUUUUGCCAAAUUGAUUUGGUUACAAUUGAGUUUAAAGUACAGUAAUUAAUGUUCAAGUGAUUUUAUACUUAAACAGUUGGUUUGAUGUAAAACUUACAGUAAAAUAUCCAACUCAGUGCAAAAGCUACUUUAUCACUCUUCGUUAAA